GAUGAACGCUGACAGAAUGCUUAACACAUGCAAGUCGAUGGGGAAGUGGUGCUUGCACCAUGGCAACCAUGGCGGACGGGUGAGUAACGCGUAAGGGACUUACCUGCAGGACUGGGAUAACAGGGGGAAACUCCUGACAAGACCGGAUAAUGUCAUGGAGCUGCAUGGCUUUAUGAUGAAAGGAGACGCCUGCGGAGAGCCUUGCGUCCUAUUAGCUAGUUGGUGAGGUAAUGGCGCACCAAGGCGAAGAUAGGUAGCCGGCCUGAGAGGGUGGACGGCCACAAGGGGACUGAGAUACGGCCCUUACUCCUACGGGAGGCAGCAGUGGGGAAUAUUGGACAAUGGGGGCAACCCUGAUCCAGCAAUUCUGUGUGCACGAAGAAGGUUUUCGGAUUGUAAAGUGCUUUCAGCAGGGAAGAAGUAAGUGACGGUACCUGCAGAAGAAGCGACGGCUAAAUACGUG
rnacentral:rRNA from 1 species